UGAUCAUUACCAAGGCUUUUAGAAUUCAGUUUCUUACUUGCUGUGGACGUGACCAUAAAAAGACUUCCCUCUAGGUUUUCUAUCUGCUACCUUGCUAGCUAGCAAUCCACCUAUUAGGAACAUUU
ensembl:snoRNA